GUGAGUAGUUCAGAGUUUGAUCCUGGCUCAGGAUGAACGCUAGCUACAGGCUUAACACAUGCAAGUCGAGGGGCAGCACAAGGCAGCAAUGCUGAGGUGGCGACCGGCGCACGGGUGCGUAACGCGUAUCCAACCUUCCCGUUACUCAUGGAUAGCCUUCCGAAAGGGAGAUUAAUACAUGAUGGUGUUGAAAUUCCGCAUGUUAUUUCAACUAAAGAUUUAUCGGUAACGGAUGGGGAUGCGUUCCAUUAGCUUGUUGGCGGGGUAACGGCCCACCAAGGCUUCGAUGGAUAGGGGUUCUGAGAGGAAGGUCCCCCACACUGGAACUGAGACACGGUCCAG
rnacentral:rRNA from 1 species